GCUACAGGCUUAACACAUGCAAGUCGAGGGGAAACGAUAUUGGAAGCUUGCUUCCGAUAGGCGUCGACCGGCGCACGGGUGAGUAACGCGUAUCCAACCUGCCCAUCACUUGGGGAUAACCUUGCGAAAGUAAGACUAAUACCCAAUGAUAUCUCUAGAAGACAUCUGAAAGGGAUUAAAGAUUUAUCGGUGAUGGAUGGGGAUGCGUCUGAUUAGCUUGUUGGCGGGGUAACGGCCCACCAAGGCGACGAUCAGUAGGGGUUCUGAGAGGAAGGUCCCCCACAUUGGAACUGAGACACGGUCCAAACUCCUACGGGAGGCAGCAGUGAGGAAUAUUGGUCAAUGGGCGAGAGCCUGAACCAGCCAAGUAGCGUGCAGGAUGACGGCCCUAUGGGUUGUAAACUGCUUUUAUAAGGGAAUAAAGUGAGUCUCGUGAGACUUUUUGCAUGUACCUUAUGAAUAAGGACCGGCUAAUUCCGUGCCAGCAGCCGCGGUAAUACGGAAGGUCCGGGCGUUAUCCGGAUUUAUUGGGUUUAAAGGGAGCGUAGGCCGGAGAUUAAGCGUGUUGUGAAAUGUAGACGCUCAACGUCUGCACUGCAGCGCGAACUGGUUUCCUUGAGUACGCACAAAGUGGGCGGAAUUCGUGGUGUAGCGGUGAAAUGCUUAGAUAUCACGAAGAACUCCGAUUGCGAAGGCAGCUCACUGGAGCGCAACUGACGCUGAAGCUCGAAAGUGCGGGUAUCGAACAGGAUUAGAUACCCUGGUAGUCCGCACGGUAAACGAUGGAUGCCCGCUGUUGGUCUGAAUAGGUCAGCGGCCAAGCGAAAGCAUUAAGCAUCCCACCUGGGGAGUACGCCGGCAACGGUGAAACUCAAAGGAAUUGACGGGGGCCCGCACAAGCGGAGGAACAUGUGGUUUAAUUCGAUGAUACGCGAGGAACCUUACCCGGGCUUGAAUUGCAGAGGAAGGAUUUGGAGACAAUGACGCCCUUCGGGGUCUCUGUGAAGGUGCUGCAUGGUUGUCGUCAGCUCGUGCCGUGAGGUGUCGGCUUAAGUGCCAUAACGAGCGCAACCCCUCUCCUUAGUUGCCAUCAGGUUAAGCUGGGCACUCAUGGGGACACUGCCACCGUAAGGUGUGAGGAAGGUGGGG
rnacentral:rRNA from 1 species